UUUUCAUUUUUUUAUUUUUCAGAAGCUGUUUAUUUUCCAUCUCCCUGAUUUCCGUUUUCUGUUCAAGAGUCUGUGGAAGAGCAACUCAAGAGCAGUCAGUGGUUCUUCCUACCCAUUCAGCAGCCUGCGCAGUGGGAGCUGCGGCCCAGUCUUCGGUGGCAGGCUGAGGGCUCCAUCCUCAGUAGGAAAUGGCUGGACGGGCACAGAGGGGACCAGCAUGCCUUCAGACAGCGUGGGGCCUCGGGGGAUGGUGGUGUCCACAUAGCAGAGGAGAGUGUGUCACACAGAGCAGUGGCGGGCAGGUUAACACAAGAGGCCUCCGUGAGAGGCUGGCGGUCAGCCCUGGGGUCAGUUGCCACCAGAAGUCACGGUUCCUGGAAGGCCGCCUGGAUCUGGUUAGUGAAGGUUCCAGCAGAGAAGCAGCUGGCAGUGGGAGAGGCUCCAGCGGCAGCAGCAAACUUGAGCACAGCUCACCGGUCAGCAUUCCUGGAGGAUGUGACGCUGGCAUCGGCUGGGUUUUCAGUGGCGACAAUGGCACGGUCUGCCUGUGGAAGCUUUUCCCAGGUUCUCUUCAGCUUUACGAUGUAGAUGCCAUCACUUUUCCUUUUGUAGAUGUGCUGUUCCAUUUGGAAGUCAAGGUGGCUGCCACCUGAGUGGGCUCCUCCUGUGCGGAACGGGAGGACAUCCUCCUCCUCCGUUUGUGGGACACCCAGGGCUCCGGACACUGUGAGUUUCCCUUCAAGUUAUGGUGGGAACCCAGACCAACGCUGUAUGGACCCCCCCUGGCUAGUGUGGAAAGCACUUUUAAUUUUUUGAAUGUAGUGCUAUGUGUACAUGUUUAAAAAAAAUUACAACAGUGCAAAAGGAUAUUUAGUGCAAAGGUAAGUCUCCGUCUCAUCCUGAGCCCUACUCCCCAGUUGUUCUCCUCUGAGGCAAAUACUGUGAUCCCUCUUGAGUCCAUCUCUUUGCAGGGCUGGGCUGUGCAAAUACCCACCUGGAUACUGUGACGGUUAAUUCUACGUGUGCACUUGACUGGAUCACCGGAUGCCCAGGCAUCUGGGUAAACAUGAUUUCUGGGUAUGCCGAUGGGGUGUUUCCACAAGAGAUCAGCAUUUGAAGUGGUGCACUGAGGAAAGCAGGUGGCGCUCCCCAGGUCGUGCGUUUACCCCAGGAGCUGCCGUCUGACAGUGGGGAUGACCUCCGAUUCCACGUAAACAGGGACGUGCUCUUCCAGUCCCCUCCUCCUGGCCUCUCAGGACGGCUUUCCAUGCGGUCCGUCCCGUCCCACGUCAAGUCUGUGAGCUUC